UCUCCGUUCCGCCACCCAUAUUUUGGUCCUCGAAGCAUGAUAAAGCGGUGUUUUGCCUCUCGCGAGCUACUUCACACGUUUCUAUGGCCAAACAAUAAUUUUCAUAUUGCCGGUCCACCACCCACAUUUUUGUCCCUGGGGGUCGAUAAGGCUAUUUUUGGCCUUCUGUGAGCUAUAUCACACAUUUUCAUGGACAAACAACCAUGAACAUUGUUGGGGGAGGGCCUUCGUCGCCGAAGGGCUCCGAGAUAUCAACUUUGUCAAGAAAAGCAAGUUUCAGGUAAAAACGUUCAUCUUCGUCAUCGAACCAAAGUUGAUAAAUGGAUGAAGUCAAGAAGAGCUGAAGCCGAAGGAGGAAGCUUCGGGUGAUACGUGGCGACCUACGAAGCAGAGAAGAAGGCAGAGACUGUGGAAGGCUUGAUCAACAAGAUAUAUGGAUGGAAAAACGAAGUUGUACAUCGUGGCUAUAAAUAGAAGAACGGUGCCAUGCAUAAGCAUGCAUUUUGAUCAGAGCGAUCCGAGUUGCUCCGACUACAAAGUUGUAUACUUCCUUUGCUUUCACUUGUUUGAGUGUACAACCAAAGGUAUACUUGUAAUCAUUUGAUAUAUUGUAAAGAACGAAAUAAUGUGCUUACACAUUCAGAUGAGUAAUUCGUUCUA